ACAAGCGGUGGAGCAUGUGGUUUAAUUCGAUGAUACGCGAGGAACCUUACCUGGGCUCAAAUGUAUGUUGACGUAUUCUGAAAGGGAUACUUCUUCGGACAAUAUACAAGGUGCUGCAUGGUUGUCGUCAGCUCGUGCCGUGAGGUGUCGGGUUAAGUCCCAUAACGAGCGCAACCCCUACCUUUAGUUGCCAUCAGGUUAAGCUGGGGACUCUAAAGGAACUGCCUACGCAAGUAGUGAGGAAGGCGGGGAUGACGUCAAAUCAGCACGGCCCUUACGUCCAGGGCUACACACGUGCUACAAUGGCCGAUACAGAGGGCAGCUACCUGGUGACAGGAUGCAAAUCUCCAAAGUCGGUCUCAGUUCGGAUCGGAGUCUGCAACCCGACUCCGUGAAGUUGGAUUCGCUAGUAAUCGCGCAUCAGCCAUGGCGCGGUGAAUACGUUCCCGGGCCUU
rnacentral:rRNA from 1 species